rnacentral:hammerhead_ribozyme from 1 species
GCACCACUGAAGAGUCCCACAAUAGGACAAAACGGCCGUCCAAUGC